AAGCAUUAAGUGAACCACCUGGGGAGUACGAUCGCAAGGUUGAAACUCAAAGGAAUUGACGGGGGCCCGCACAAGCGGAGGAACAUGUGGUUUAAUUCGAUGAUACGCGAGGAACCUUACCUGGGCUUAAAUGUAGAUUGCAUUUUCGGGAAACCGGAAUUCCCUUCGGGGCUAUUUACAAGGUGCUGCAUGGUUGUCGUCAGCUCGUGCCGUGAGGUGUCGGGUUAAGUCCCAUAACGAGCGCAACCCCUAUCGUUAGUUGCCAGCGGAUAAUGCCGGGGACUCUAGCGAGACUGCCACCGUAAGGUGAGAGGAAGGUGGGGAUGACGUCAAAUCAGCACGGCCCUUAUGUCCAGGGCUACACACGUGUUACAAUGGCCGAUACAAAGGGCAGCUACCAGGUGACUGGAUGCAAAUCUCGAAAGUCGGUCUCA
rnacentral:rRNA from 1 species